CUUCGCGCGGCGUCUGCUGGCUCCGGGGCGGGGGCUGCGGCGGCGGCGAAGCCCCCUCCCCAGGGAGGCGGGGCCUGGGUGAGCUCCCCGCUUAGGGAGCAGCGGCGGCCGGGAAGGAUGCAUCAGAAGCUGCUGAAAAGCGCACAUUAUAUCGAGCUGGGCAGCUACCAGUACUGGCCGGUCCUGGUGCCCCGCGGCAUCCGCCUCUACACCUACGAGCAGAUCCCCGUGUCCCUCAAGGACAACCCGUACAUCACCGACGGCUACCGGGCCUACCUGCCUUCCAGGCUGUGUAUCAAAAGUUUGUUCAUUUUAUCUAAUGAGACAGUAAACAUCUGGAGUCAUUUGCUAGGUUUCUUCCUCUUCUUCACGCUGGGAAUAUAUGACAUGACAUCUGUGUUACCUUCAGCAAGUGCAUCCAGAGAAGAUUUUGUAAUUUGUUCUAUUUGUCUCUUCUGCUUCCAGGUCUGUAUGCUUUGCUCCGUGGGCUAUCAUCUCUUUUCCUGCCAUCGAUCAGAAAAAACCUGUCGAAGAUGGAUGGCAUUAGAUUAUGCAGGAAUUUCUAUUGGAAUACUGGGCUGCUAUGUCUCUGGUGUAUUUUAUGCAUUUUAUUGUAAUAAUUAUUGGCGUCAAGUGUACUUGAUCACCGUGCUUGCUAUGAUCCUGGCCGUGUUCUUUGCUCAGAUCCAUCCCAAUUACCUCACACAGCAGUGGCAGAGGCUCCGUUCUAUCAUCUUCUGUUCUGUUUCCGGGUAUGGAGUCAUCCCUACUCUCCACUGGGUGUGGCUCAAUGGAGGAAUCGGUGCUCCUAUCGUUCAGGACUUUGCACCCCGUGUAGUUGUGAUGUAUGUGAUUGCUCUUCUUGCUUUCCUGUUCUACAUUUCCAAAGUUCCAGAAAGGUAUUUUCCAGGACAACUAAACUACCUCGGAUCAAGCCACCAAAUAUGGCACAUCCUUGCAGUAGUGAUGUUAUAUUGGUGGCAUCAGUCGACAGUGUAUGUCAUGCAGUAUAGACACAGCAAACCCUGUGCUGACUAUGUUUCACAUUUGUGAAUUCAGAAUCAGGAAUGAAGCUUCAGGGAGUGUGUGUCACAUCUUUGGCAUCCCACCUGGACAGAGUAACCGAAUUGAAGAUUGGCACUGACUGGCAUAAAGCUGUACAGCUCUCCACUCGGCAGGAGUUAAUACCAAGAGUCCGUCUGAGGUCCUCUACUGUUUAGAAGGAAACGGAGCAGCACCGAAGGGGUCUAAUUCGACGGGCUGGGGCUGUUGGGGCUGAUGGGAGGUGAUGCUCUGCACCACGAGUUCUGUGAAGGGCACAGCACCAAAAUCAUCCAUUUUCAACGCCUCUGCCCCGUGGAAGGAGCCGUGCAGUGAAUUCGGCCGGGGCCUCCCGGGCAGGACCGGGUUGUGGUCGGCGCUCAGGCCCUGGUGCGGGGAGUGCCAAGGCAGGUCCGGAGGGUGGAAGGGCUUGGCCCCGAAGGGGUCCAAUAGACCCUCGUCGGCUUGCAGGACGUGCCCGCGGUCCUUCCCAUCAGUCAGGGCCACGCUGAUGUUCUCCUUGGAGUCUGAGAUGGUCAGGAACUCGUUGCUGCUCUGUGAGUCCCGGCGGCCCACCCUCCUAUGCCGGCGGGCCCGCUCGGGGGUGCGGAAGGCGGGCUUGGUCGGCUUCUUGGCGCCAGUCGGGGUGCCGUGGUGCCGCUUCCCGUUGCUCUUGGCCGUGUCCUGCUUGGUGCGCCUCUGCCGGGAGGACAGUUUCUGUAGGCUGCGCUGCUUGACUUUCUGCUGCGGACUCCCAGUUAUCUCCUCGAACGGCACCAGCCCAAAAAGGUCCUCGCCGCUGUCGCUUUUACUGGCGGACGGAGGGAAGGGCUGGAACGGCGUGGAGCCAAAGACAUCCACGCUGGGGGGGCCAGCCGGCGCGGCGGCGUGCGCAUCGCGCGCCAUCAGCUUCUUGCUGAAGGGCGCCUUGGUGAAGACAUCGAAUUCCUCCGGCUCGAGCCCCGCGGCGGGAAGCCGGCUCUGCGGAGAGAGGUCCUUCUGCUCCCCCUGUUGGGGCUGCUGAGCCCGCGCUGCGAAGAAGGGGACAGCGCCGAAGACAUCAAACUCGGGUCUGGGAGUCCCCGCUCCCACGUCCGAGGGCACCCGGGCGGACAUGAGGCGUGCUGCGCUGGGACCCUGGACCGCUCCGCCGCCGGCUGCGUCCCUGUAGCCUGGGCUCGCGGCGCUGUACUUUGUUUUGGCCUGCUCGUAGUCCGAAUCGGAGCUGUGCUUCUCCUCCUCUUCCUCAUCUUCAGAAUCCAUGAGCAGAGGCCUGUGCCCCAUGUUUUCCGGUUCAGUGUCAUCGUCAUUAAAAUCUCCUUGUUCUCCCUGGAGAACUUCCUCAUCCUCUUGCUCUUCCUCCUCGCUGCUCUUCGGAGAAGGGGGAUCGGACUCAAAAUCACUCUCAGAUUCAUCGUUCCCCUUUUGCACUUGAGCACGUACUAAUGAAUUCUCUGAGGUUUUCUUUCCAGUCCGGUGGUCUUUAGAGACUGGACUUCCUUUUGUAUUCUUGAUAGGGUUUGCAGUGCCGUUUUCUUGAUUCAUUGAGGGAUGUUCAAUUUUCUUUUCAGGAGAAUCUGCCAAUUCAAACAAAAAUUGUAUCAUCUCAAUGCAUCUCAAAAACCAUUUGCAGUAAACGUCAUGUACUAAUACAAAGCCUUACAGAUUGCUCAUAUCAGUUCCCUUAUUGCAAGACUUAUUGGCACGUCUUUGUCAUUAGGCUCUUGAGCGGUGGGGGGGGCGGGGGAGGUGAUGCACUUGGCCCCUAGUUGAUGGUGUAGGUCCUUGAAGCCCAGACCGACAAACUUGUGUUUCUACCCUACACACCACCUACUCACCACAGGUGGUCACUGACAGCUGUCUUACUUAUAGUACCCACAAUAGGACUCUGAAUAUGGUACACAAGCAAAUUUUCUUCUCCCAGCUUCAAAACAAGACUAUCCAGCCAACUGCCCUGCCAAGAUCCCCCAUUCACCUCAACCUUAUGCUUCUGUUUCGACUCUGUUAUUAAGUUUUCCUAUGGAGAUCAACAAGCAUGAAUAGCUUAUCUGCUUAGAUAUGUUUCACUGUACUAUUUAAAAUUGGCAUUCUGGGAGUUUAUUGUGAACAAGUAUCUUAUGGGCUGGGUGAACAUGAGCGCAUCCCCAUAGCCUGAUCCAAGCUGAGGACCAGUUACUGAACUGCGACGUAUCAAGGACAUCUGCCUUCCCAAGAGGACACAUCUUCCUUUAACUGUCACACUUGUACUAGUAGACCCUGUAUU